GGGAGGCAGCAGUGGGGAAUCUUAGACAAUGGGGGCAACCCUGAUCUAGCCAUGCCGCGUGAGUGAUGAAGGCCUUAGGGUUGUAAAGCUCUUUCAGCUGGGAAGAUAAUGACGGUACCAGCAGAAGAAGCCCCGGCUAACUCCGUGCCAGCAGCCGCGGUAAUACGGAGGGGGCUAGCGUUGUUCGGAAUUACUGGGCGUAAAGCGCACGUAGGCGGACCGGAAAGUCAGAGGUGAAAUCCCAGGGCUCAACCUUGGAACUGCCUUUGAAACUAUCGGUCUGGAGUUCGAGAGAGGUGAGUGGAAUUCCGAGUGUAGAGGUGAAAUUCGUAGAUAUUCGGAGGAACACCAGUGGCGAAGGCGGCUCACUGGCUCGAUACUGACGCUGAGGUGCGAAAGCGUGGGGAGCAAACAGGAUUAGAUANCCUGGUAGU
rnacentral:rRNA from 1 species